ensembl:snoRNA small nucleolar RNA SNORA21
CUACCUUUAAAAGCACUGGCUGGGCCUCUUGCUCACGACCCACCGAGCCGUCGAGAAGCACAGAGCACAAACACCGCUUUUGGGUGAAGCGGCAGCGUGUUGCGUUGUUACGCUUCAUUUGGUGGUGUGACAAGA